rnacentral:rRNA from 1 species
GUAGGUGGCAAGCGUUGUCCGGAAUUAUUGGGCGUAAAGCGCGCGCAGGCGGUCCUUUAAGUCUGAUGUGAAAGCCCACGGGCUCAACCGUGGAGGGUCAUUGGAAACUGGGGGACUUGAGUACAGAAGAGGAAAGCGGAAUUCCAAGUGUAGCGGUGAAAUGCGGAGAGAUUUGGAGGAACACCAGUGGCGAAGGCGGCUUUCUGGUCUGUAACUGACGCUGAGGCGCGAAAGCGUGGGGAGCAAACAGGAUUAGAUACCCUGGUAGUCCACGCCGUAAGCGAUGAGUGCUAAGUGUUAGGGGGUUUCCGCCCCUUAGUGCUGCAGCUAACGCAUUAAGCACUCCGCCUGGGGAGUACGGCCGCAGGGCUG